rnacentral:rRNA from 1 species
UACAGAGGUCCCGAGCGUUGUUCGGAUUCAUUGGGCGUAAAGGGUGCGUAGGCGGCUUUCUAAGUCUGAUGUGAAAUCCUGGGGCUCAACCCUGGAACUGCAUUGGAUACUGGGAGGCUAGAGUACUGGAGAGGAAACUGGAAUUUACGGUGUAGCAGUGAAAUGCGUAGAGAUCGUAAGGAAGACCAGUGGCGAAGGCAAGUUUCUGGACAGUUACUGACGCUGAGGCACGAAGGCCAGGGGAGCAAACGGG